UCCGCCCUUAAAAGGAGAACUUCCGGCCUCAGGAGCGUACUCGUCGGGACUCGUCCGCCCGACGUUCAAACUUUUCCUUGUGCGUGUGUAGCCACGACCGCCGGUAGCGAGGAGACUCAAGUCCGCUUCCGCCCUUCCUGAGACCCAGGACGCGACCGAGGCGGGGAUGCCUGCCAGUCACACUAAGGAAACUACUCAAUACCCAUAACCUGAGAGAGGUGUUAGGAAGAAAGGAUGCUGGUCAUCACUCCCAAUUCACACAUCCUUCAUUAAUUACGUCACAUGGAAGAGUCUUCAUAUAAUAUUUUCAGCAACGUAUCUUAGACCACAUCUAUGAAGAGCAAGAUGGACCCACAAGCCUACUAGUGAGCAGGUGGACUCAACUCUACCCAUUCGUUUCCACCACUGGAAACCUCUGCUGUGAGGUGCCCAGGAUGAUGAGGGUAUGUAUGGACACACUGUCAGCUGGAAUCGCCUGGGCUGUUCCACUGAAGCUCAAGCAGCACAGGUCCUUUCAAGAGACUGUGCUUCGGGGCCGGCAGUUGGCAUGGUGAUGAAGGUGCUGGACUCCCAUAUG